rnacentral:rRNA from 1 species
CCUACGGGAGGCAGCAGUGGGGAAUAUUGGGCAAUGGGCGAAAGCCUGACCCAGCAACGCCGCGUGAAGGAAGAAGGCUUUCGGGUUGUAAACUUCUUUUGACAGGGAAGAGCAGAAGACGGUACCUGUCGAAUAAGCCACGGCUAACUACGUGCCAGCACCCGCGGUAAUACGUAGGUGGCAAGCGUUGUCCGGAUUUACUGGGGGUAAAGGGCGGGUAGCCGGGCUGACAAGUCAGAUGUGAAAUCCGGGGGCUCAACCCCCGAACUGCAUUUGAAACUGUUGGUCUUGAGUAUCGGAGAGGCAGGCGGAAUUCCUAGUGUAGCGGUGAAAUGCGUAGAUAUUAGGAGGAACACCAGUGGCGAAGGCGGCCUGCUGGACGACAACUGACGGUGAGGCGCGAAAGCGUGGGGAGCAAACAGGAUUAGAUACCCCGGUAGUC